rnacentral:rRNA from 1 species
AUGAACGCUAGCUACAGGCUUAACACAUGCAAGUCGAGGGGCAGCAUGGUCUUAGCUUGCUAAGGCCGAUGGCGACCGGCGCACGGGUGAGUAACACGUAUCCAACCUGCCGUCUACUCUUGGACAGCCUUCUGAAAGGAAGAUUAAUACAAGAUGGCAUCAUGAGUCCGCAUGUUCACAUGAUUAAAGGUAUUCCGGUAGACGAUGGGGAUGCGUUCCAUUAGAUAGUAGGCGGGGUAACGGCCCACCUAGUCUUCGAUGGAUAGGGGUUCUGAGAGGAAGGUCCCCCACAUUGGAACUGAGACACGGUCCAAACUCCUACGGGAGGCAGCAGUGAGGAAUAUUGGUCAAUGGGCGAGAGCCUGAACCAGCCAAGUAGCGUGAAGGAUGACUGCCCUAUGGGUUGUAAACUUCUUUUAUAAAGGAAUAAAGUCGGGUAUGCAUACCCGUUUGCAUGUACUUUAUGAAUAAGGAUCGGCUAACUCCGUGCCAGCAGCCGCGGUAAUACGGAGGAUCCGAGCGUUAUCCGGAUUUAUUGGGUUUAAAGGGAGCGUAGAUGGAUGUUUAAGUCAGUUGUGAAAGUUUGCGGCUCAACCGUAAAAUUGCAGUUGAUACUGGAUAUCUUGAGUGCAGUUGAGGCAGGCGGAAUUCGUGGUGUAGCGGUGAAAUGCUUAGAUAUCACGAAGAACUCCGAUUGCGAAGGCAGCCUGCUAAGCUGCAACUGACAUUGAGGCUCGAAAGUGUGGGUAUCAAACAGGAUUAGAUACCCUGGUAGUCCACACGGUAAACGAUGAAUACUCGCUGUUUGCGAUAUACAGCAAGCGGCCAAGCGAAAGCGUUAAGUAUUCCACCUGGGGAGUACGCCGGCAACGGUGAAACUCAAAGGAAUUGACGGGGGCCCGCACAAGCGGAGGAACAUGUGGUUUAAUUCGAUGAUACGCGAGGAACCUUACCCGGGCUUAAAUUGCAGAUGAAUUACGGUGAAAGCCGUAAGCCGCAAGGCAUCUGUGAAGGUGCUGCAUGGUUGUCGUCAGCUCGUGCCGUGAGGUGUCGGCUUAAGUGCCAUAACGAGCGCAACCCUUGUUGUCAGUUACUAACAGGUUCCGCUGAGGACUCUGACAAGACUGCCAUCGUAAGAUGUGAGGAAGGUGGGGAUGACGUCAAAUCAGCACGGCCCUUACGUCCGGGGCUACACACGUGUUACAAUGGGGGGUACAGAGGGCCGCUACCACGCGAGUGGAUGCCAAUCCCAAAAACCUCUCUCAGUUCGGACUGGAGUCUGCAACCCCACUCCACGAAGCUGGAUUCGCUAGUAAUCGCGCAUCAGCCACGGCGCGGUGAAUACGUUCCCGGGCCUUGUACACACCGCCCGUCAAGCCAUGGGAGCCGGGGGUACCUGAAGUGCGUAACCGCGAGGAGCGCCCUAGGGUAAAACUGGUGACUGGGGCU